UCAUAUCUGGUGUCACAAUAGCUUGCAUUUAAAAACAAAAAACCUUUUUCACUGUUAUAGAUUGAAUAGCAGUCAGUGUCCUUAAAGCGGGUGUGUCAGGCUCACAGUGGAUACUGUUCCCAUUUGCCCAGUGCCACGACUCAUAUCUGGUGUCACAAUAGCUUAAGCUUGACAAUUUAAAAGAAAACAUUUUUUUUUCACUGUAAUAGAUUGAAUAGCAGUUAGUUGUCUGCAAGCGUCUGGGUGUCAGGCCUCCUUCAGCGUGUGCUCUGCAGACCUCUGCCCGUGUACUUUGCCACUCAUAUC